rnacentral:rRNA from 1 species
AUUGAACGCUGGCGGCAUGCUUUACACAUGCAAGUCGAACGGCAGCGCGGGCUUCGGCCUGGCGGCGAGUGGCGAACGGGUGAGUAAUACAUCGGAACGUGCCCAGUAGUGGGGGAUAGCUCGGCGAAAGCCGGAUUAAUACCGCAUACGACCUGAGGGUGAAAGCGGGGGAUCUUCGGACCUCGCGCUAUUGGAGCGGCCGAUGGCAGAUUAGCUAGUUGGUGGGGUAAAGGCCUACCAAGGCGACGAUCUGUAGCUGGUCUGAGAGGACGACCAGCCACACUGGGACUGAGACACGGCCCAGACUCCUACGGGAGGCAGCAGUGGGGAAUUUUGGACAAUGGGCGAAAGCCUGAUCCAGCAAUGCCGCGUGUGUGAUGAAGGCCUUCGGGUUGUAAAGCACUUUUGGCGGGAACGAAAAGGACUGUGCCAAUACCACGGUUCGAUGACGGUACCCGCAGAAAAAGCACCGGCUAACUACGUG